rnacentral:rRNA from 1 species
AACGAACGCUGGCGGCAUGCCUAACACAUGCAAGUCGCACGAGAAAGUCUUCGGAUGAGUAAAGUGGCGCACGGGUGAGUAAUACAUAGGAACGUGCCUUUAGGUGGGGGAUAACAGCGGGAAACCGUUGCUAAUACCGCAUGGCCUCGCAAGAGUACAGAUGACCUCUAUUUAUAAGUUAUCGCCAAAAGAGCGGCCUAUGUCCCAUUAGCUAGUUGGUAAGGUAAUGGCUUACCAAGGCAACGAUGGGUAACUGGUCUGAGAGGAUGGUCAGUCACACUGGAACUGAGACACGGUCCAGACUCCUACGGGAGGCAGCAGUGGGGAAUAUUGCACAAUGGGCGCAAGCCUGAUGCAGCAAUGCCGCGUGAGUGAAGACGGCCUUCGGGUUGUAAAGCUCUUUCGACAGGGGUAAAGGUUUAUGCAGUGAACAAUUGCAUAGAUUGAUAGUACUUGAAGAAGAAGCACCGG